CCUACGGGAGGCAGCAGUGGGGAAUUUUCCGCAAUGGGCGAAAGCCUGACGGAGCAAUACCGCGUGAGGGAAGACGGCCUAUGGGUUGUAAACCUCUUUUUUCAGAGAGGAAUAAGUGACGUGUAUCUGAAGAAUAAGCAUCGGCUAACUCCGUGCCAGCAGCCGCGGUAAUA
rnacentral:rRNA from 1 species